CGGCGCAACUCGUGUCUCUGCCUGAGAGGGCGUGAGAAUUUCGCGUGCAUGCAGUGCCUUUUACUGGUCGCACAUGCUUCUCGAAGUCCUUGCGGAGUGAGGUUAGGGGCAGCCAGCGCAGACUCAUUGCGUGCGCACACACGUUGAUGCAGCACAGCGGCCACACGCACGUAUUUUUCUUUUUUUUUUGUCUAGCAAGCCUUCUGAGCGGGAUGAGCGCUCCGCCACCGCGGCCGCACUCGAUGUGGGCGCGCCGAGGGCACAGCACACACGAUGCCGCCGCCGCUCUCUUUGAGGAGAUGAGUCAUGCGGCGCGGACGGGAGGCGGAGCCGGUGCUUUACCAACGUCCUUGCCGAUAGCGGCACCGCGGUCGCAUGUGCAGCAGCACUUGCCUGGCAGCCGCUGCGGGGGUACCGCAGCUGAGGCCUCGUCAUCGCAGCCCGCCUGCAGCGCAGGCCUGUCGCCUGCGGCAACGACAAUCACGACUGUCACGUCGCCCAGCGGCGACCACACCUCGCCGCCACUAGCGCUGCCCACCCCCCUUCCGACGCCGUCCGCGGCGACUGCGUACUUCUACGUGCAUCGCCUCGGCUCUUGGCCGUCGGCUGUAGGCCAGCACCACGUGAAUGGUCACAGCCGCGGCGGGAGUGAUCCGGCAGCGGCGACACACGCAUGGGGCAUGCCGACGUCAUCCCCGACGUACUUCCCGCCAUCGUCGCGGAGCAACGUGUUUCCAGGCCUUGUGAGCGCCGCUACCACUGGUGUCCCGAUGGACGUCGAAAACGGCGCCGGCCACAACAGUCCGAGCUCUCUGUCAACGUCGUCGCAGUCUCUCACUGCCUCCACUGGACUCGGCGGCGGCGCUGGAAGCGGUGCAGUGGGGGGAUCGCAUCUCACGACGCCACCUACCACGCGUGGCACGCCUGCUGCUGCUGCUACGCCGGUAGCGGCGCCUGUGUAUGUAUGGCACAGCUCGAGCUCGAUGGCCGGAGCGGCACCAUGGCUGCGCUUGCAUCGGCCCGCCAGCGCCGCGGCAGCCUGCGUAGGAGGGCGACGGGGAUCGGCAGCACCAGCGGCCGGGACCGGCGGAGGGACCGGCGGCGUGGGGACACCACAGAAUCCAGGCAGCAGCGGGGCCGGCAUGCUGGCGUCGCCGCCGCACCUCAGCACCGUCUUUGGAGCAACCGACGAAGACGCCGCUCAGCGGAGCUCCACUUGCAGUGUGAGCGGGAGGGACACGGGUGGUAGUGUACCAGCCGUGGCAAGAGGCCUCUCGCAGCCGCACCACCAGCAAGAGCUUCACGCCGAUCCUGUCGCCGGCAGCGGCGCUUCGGGUUCGCUGUCUGCGGCCCUACCCCUGACCCUCGUCCCGCCGUUCCGCUUCGCACGCGUGGAGUCCGGGGUGUACCGCGGCGCCUACCCCGUCCUGCGGAACUUCCCAUACAUUCGGCGGCUGCGACUGCGCACGAUGGUGUCGCUCAUUCCUGAGCCGCCGACGUACGACCUCAAGUGCUUCGCGGAGGCGGAGCACAUCCAGCUGCACCACAUUCACGCCGAGCGCGCCAAGGGCGAGGUGCAGCUGUUGCCGUCGGAGCUGAGCGAGGCGCUGCAGCUCAUCAUGAACAAGGAUAUGCACCCCCUGUACAUCCACUGUCUCGACGGCCGCCACGUCACCGGUCUCGUCAUCAUGGCGCUGCGCAAGCUGCUGCAGUGGGAUGCAAAGGUCGCCAACGCCGAGUUUCAGCGUUUCACCCGCGAGGUGCAGGAUGAGGCGGCGUUCAUCGCUGACUACACUGGGCCUCUCCUAGUGCCACCGCACUUGCCGGUGUGGCUCUGGGGUGGGUCCAUCUACGACGCAGCCACUGGACAGCAGAAACGUCUGCCUGCAGCUAUACGACUGCGCUUGUCCACCGCGGUGUCUGGUGGAGCCGGCAGCGCUGCGGCCACAGCGGGAGGUGUGGCCGCAGCACCUGGAGCCGGGCUCGGUCGCGUUUCUGCGUCCGCAUCCGGUGGAACAUCAUCGGCCACCGGUACUGGCCCCGUGAAUGGCCCGCAGAGUGCCACGAGCGCUGCCGUUAGCCACAAACCGAAGGGGGGGACGUUGCGCGGCCCUAGUGGCGAUCUCCGCCCACAGGCCGCCGCACCGUGGAUGUGCGUACCGCAGGCCGAGACGGUGGCCGCAGACGGGCAGCAUUACAUCGAUGUUGACCGCCUUCCUGUCGCGCUGCCGCUACGCGGCAGUCUACCGGGCCCCGCGGCGCCGCACUGGAUUCCAUCGACGGAGCCGUCAGCCACCGCGAGCGCCGGCACUGUCUCUGGCAGCGGUGGUGGCACUGGCACACUGAAUGUGCACCUCCAUCUCACCCGGAGCAGCGCGCACUCCUCCCGCUCCACCAGUGAGAAGAGCAGCAUGGCUGGGCUCCCGGCAGCGGUCUCGGCGGCGGCGGCAAGCUCAACCGGCGGUGUUGGAGGCGGUAGCCGCUGGCAGAGCACAACAUCUUGGGAUGCGCUGCAGCAGCAUCAGCGGCGAUUAGCCUCCUCCCUUAUCCACAGCGACGCCGCUCCCAGCAAGGGUGCUGGCUCCAGUGGGCUGCUGGAUGGCCGUGUGAGCGCGCUCCUCUGGACGUCGGGGCUGAUAGUGCCGUCAGCGACUGUCGGCGGCGGCAGCGGUAUCCCGGGAAGUGGCCGCGUGAGUGGUGGCUCAGCCGGUAGUAGUGGUGGAGGCGGUGGCGCUGCCGGUGGAAACGCGAACGGCGGCGGUGGGGCAGUGGUCGGGAUCAAUGGGCCGCCGACCGCCUCGUCGCCGCCGCCCUCAGCGCGGACACCGAAGCGCAGCUACUCUCGCUGAGGGCAGUGCGUGAGCACAAGCACUUUAUGAGUUGUGCGACGUGCCCUCGUUGAGUGUACGCGUGUGCACGCGUGCGUCUCUCUCUCUGUAUGCCUUGGAAUUUAAUGGCCAGCCGCGACACGGAAGCGAGCGGCACACAAGCGGCGCAACAG
rnacentral:misc_RNA from 1 species